AGGAUGAACGCUGGCGGCGUGCCUAACACAUGCAAGUCGAACGUCCUGUCUCGCAAGAGGCAGGGAGUGGCGGACGGGUGAGUACCACGUGGGUCAUCUACCGUGAGGCGAGGAAUACCGGCGAGAAAUCGCCGACAAGACCGCAUAGGCUCGAUGCAAGUCGAGCAAAGCUCUUUCGAGAGAGGGAGCGCCACACGAGGAGCCUGCGCCCGAUUAGCUAGCUGGUGGAGUAACGGUUCACCAGGGCGACGAUCGGUAGCUGGUCUGAGAGGACGAUCAGCCACACUGGGAUUGAGAACGGCCCAGACUCCUACGGGGGGCAGCAGUGAGGAAUUUUCGUCAAUGGGGGCAACCCUGAACGAGCAACGCCGCGUGCAGGAAGAAGGUUUUCGGAUCGUAAACUGCUUUUCUCGGGGAAGAGAAUGGACGGUACCCGAGGAAUCGAGCCCCGGCUAACGUACGCGCCAGCAGCCGCGGU
rnacentral:rRNA from 1 species